rnacentral:misc_RNA from 1 species
UAUUAGGAGAAACUUGGAACCCUUGAAAUAUUUGGAACCCUUGGAAUGGUUGGAGUACUUAAAAUACUUGGAAUACCAGAAAAUACCUGGACUACCUAGAACCCUUGGAAUAGUUGGAGUACCUAAAAUACUUGGAUAUUUCUGAGCUUCCUUGGAGUUCUUGGAUUUUGUGGAACAUUUGGAAUAGAAACACUUGGAUUAGCUGGAUACCUAUAUGUCAGCUGAGCAAUUGAAUGAUUCACUCAUUUAUUAUUUAUAUCAAAAGACUUGAUCAAAAUAACUCCCAAAUCUCCUAUGCCCUCCGCUGCAGUGUAUAUUUCAAAACAGCGUCGCUGCCGACGUCGACGGCGCAGUCGGCUGCUGUUUCGGCCGCGUCUGCAUUUUCAGUUUUUAGUUGCGCGUCGUUGCUCGAAGCGUAAAGUUGGCGGCCCACCGAGACACCGAGAGACCGAGAGACAAAGCUGAGCUAAAAACGAGAGACAAACUCGAGCGGAGCCACAAACACAGAGACAGCGAAGCAGCGAGCAGCUACCACGGCUGAGUUCACAAAACCUCUGGCAAAUUGUUGACAGCCGACACUCGUUUUCACACUCCAUAACAUUAGCGAGUUGGUUAAACAACAACAAGAACCGCAGCUAU